rnacentral:rRNA from 1 species
GACAGAGGUGCCAAGCGUUACUCGGAAUCACUGGGCGUAAAGCGCACGUAGGCGGACUCGCAGGUCAAUUGUGAAAUACCUGGGCUCAACCCGGGAACUGCAGUUGAAACCGCUUGUCUUGAAUACCUGAGAGGGUGGGGGAAUACCUGGUGGAGAAGUGAAAUUCGUAGAGAUCAGGUGGAACACCGGAGGCGAAGGCGCCUGCCUGGCAGUGUAUUGACGCUGAGGUGCGAAAGUGCGGGGAGCAAACAGG